CAGCGGAGCGUGUGGUUUAAUUCGAUGCAACGCGAAGAACCUUACCAAGGCUUGACAUGCCAGAAGUAGGAACUCGAAAGAGAGACCACCUGUAUCCAAUCAGGAACUGGCACAGGUGCUGCAUGGCUGUCGUCAGCUCGUGCCGUGAGAUGUUGGGUUAAGUCCCGCAACGAGCGCAACCCUCGACCUUAGUUGCCAGCAUUCAGUUGGGCACUCUAAGGUGACUGCCGGCUAAAAGUCGGAGGAAGGUGGGGAUGACGUCAAAUCAUCAUGCCCCUUAUGACCUGGGCUACACACGUGCUACAAUGGGCGGUACAAAGGGUCGCGAACCCGCGAGGGGGAGCCAAUCCCAAAAAGCCGCUCUCAGUUCGGAUUGCAGGCUGCAACUCGCCUGCAUGAAGCCGGAAUCGCUAGUAAUCGCGGAUCAGCAUGCCGCGGUGAAUACGUUCCCGGGCCUU
rnacentral:rRNA from 1 species